ACUCCUACGGGAGGCAGCAGUAGGGAAUCUUCCACAAUGGGCGAAAGCCUGAUGGAGCAAUGCCGCGUGAGUGAAGAAGGUUUUCGGAUCGUAAAACUCUGUUGUUGAAGAAGAACAUGCGUGAGAGUAACUGUUCACGUACUGACGGUAUUCAACCAGAAAGCCACGGCUAACUACGUGCCAGCAGCCGCGGUAAUACGUAGGUGGCAAGCGUUGUCCGGAUUUAUUGGGCGUAAAGAGAAUGUAGGCGGUUUAUUAAGUUUGAAGUGAAAGCCCUCGGCUCAACCGAGGAAGUGCUUCGAAAACUGGUAAACUUGAGUGCAGAAGAGGAAAGUGGAACUCCAUGUGUAGCGGUGGAAUGCGUAGAUAUAUGGAAGAACACCAGUGGCGAAGGCGGCUGUCUGGUCUGUAACUGACGCUGAGGCUCGAAAGCAUGGGUAGCAAACAGGAUUAGAUACCCUGGUAGGAUACCG
rnacentral:rRNA from 1 species